UAAAUUCGAAUACGCAUACCGUAGACAGUAGGUGUCCGGAAGGACUUAAUUUCCUACCGAGGUGUUAUGAUAAUACGUUAAUGAAGUCGCGGCCUGCCGCAUGUACUUGAUAACGACAUCAUGGCCUUCGCAGUGUCUGCGAAGGCCUUUUCUCAUGCACCC
rfam:Paenibacillus sp. MY03 contig33, whole genome shotgun sequence.